rnacentral:sRNA from 1 species
UAAUUUAGCUGAUGCAGUUGCCCGAGUC